CACGUAGUUAGCCGGGGCUUCUUAGUCAGGUACCGUCAUUUUCUUCCCUGCUGAUAGAGCUUUACAUACCGAAAUACUUCAUCGCUCACGCGGCGUCGCUGCAUCAGGGUUCCCCCCAUUGUGCAAUGUCCCCCACUGCUGCCUCCCGUAGGAGUUUGGGCCGUGUCUCAGUCCCAAUGUGGCCGUUCACCCUCUCAGGCCGGCUACUGAUCGUCGCCUUGGUGGGCCGUUACCCCACCAACCAGCUAAUCAGACGCGGGUCCAUCUCAUACCACCGGAGUUUUUACCACUGUACCAUGCAGUACUGUGUCUUAUGCGGUAUUAGCAGUCAUUUCUAACUGUUACUCCCCCUGUAUGAGGCAGGUUACCCACGCGUUACUCACCCGUCCGCCGCUCAGUCAAAUUCCUUUUACCUACCCGAAAGAAUACAAAAGCAAAAGUGUCCUUCGCCUCGACUUUGCCUAGUGUGUUACGGGAC
rnacentral:rRNA from 1 species